rnacentral:rRNA from 1 species
UACCAGCUCUCCGAGUGGUAGGGAUGAUUAUUGGGCUUAAAGCGUCCGUAGCCGGCUUAGCAAGUCUCCUGUUAAAUUCAGCGACCUAAUCGUUGAGCCGCGGGAGAUACUACUAGGCUAGGAGGCGGGAGAGGUCAACGGUACUUCCGGGGUAGGGGUGAAAUCCUAUAAUCCCGGGAGGACCACCAGUGGCGAAGGCUGUUGACUAGAACGCGCUCGACGGUGAGGGACGAAAGCUGGGGGAGCGAACCGGAUUAGAUACCCGGGUAGUCCCAGCUGUAAACGAUGCGAGCUAGGUGUUGGGGUGGCUACGUGCCACUUCAGUGCCGCAGGGAAGCCAUUAAGCUCGCCGCCUGGGGAGUACGGCCGCAAGGCUAGAAACUUAAAGGAAUUGGCGGGGGAGCACCACAAAGCGUGAAGCUUGCGGUUC